CUGGCACCAAUUUUCCAGGUGUUUAACCUCCUCCAGGUACGCCCUCUCAUCGUUGUCCGAGAUCAGACCCAUGACAACGGUGUCGUCAGCAAACUUGGCAAUGAUGGUGGAGCUGGAAGUGGCUGUGCAGUCGUAGGUGUACAGUGAGUAGAGCAGGGGGCUUAGGACACAACCCUGAGAAGCUCCAGUGCUGAGGGUGAGGGUGGAUGAGGCACAGUUGCCCACCCAUACCGAUUGUGGUCUGUCUGUUAGGAAGUUGGAGAUCCAGUCGCACAGGGAUGUAUGCAGUCCUAGAUCCUCUAACUUUGUAGUGAGUAGGGAGGGGAUGAUAAUGUUAAAUGCUGAACUGUAGCAAAUGCUGAACAAUAUCACCACAGAUGUCUUAAUAAGCAAACAUCAAACAAAUGUGUUUUUCUCUCUCUCUUUCUCUAUCUCUCUCUCUCUCUCUUUCUCUCUCUCCCUCUCUAUUUUGAGGUCUAGGUUGUGCUGUGUGUGGGGUGGGGAAAGUGCAACAGCCUGAUAAUUAGGGGUAAAAUAGGCCAGACCUGUCAUGUAACAUUUCUCUGUUACUUUGGCAACCAUGGAAAGCCUGCAGGAAUAUGGAUUGACCUCCACUGAUGCUGUUUCUGUAGCUGGGGCUUCAGGUCCUUACCCCAGCUCUAAGAGUGACGCGGUGACCAGUGACCUCCAGGAACUGUCUCUUCAGCCCACCCCCAGCCUUUUGUUGCCCAUUCAGGAGCGGAGGAACGAAGGGGAGUCUGCCAUCAUGAGCAGGCUACAUGGAGACUAUAGAUUAGAGUCUGAGGAGGCAGGGAGAGUGUCUGUAAUUCAGAAUAAACUCCAUCCUUGGGAAGACUCUUGUGUGACUGCUGGUUUUAGAGGGCAAUGUCAUACACAGCUCACCACUCUGACCUUUGAUACAUGAAUAAAUUGCUGAACUUCAUUAAUGACAGACCAAUUUCAGAGCAAGAGUGGUGAAACUAACUUAAACAGGAUUCCUGAGUCAGAUGGCAAAAUUUGUUACAUGUGCUGCCACCUGGUGGGUAGAAGAGGUCCUGCGCCUGGGUUCAGCAGACAAGUUUAGAUAAAGGUCACCUGGGUGCUGGUGUUGACAGUGUAUCUGAUACAUAUACAGGUCUUUUAUCUGAACUGCUUUAUUUUAAAUAUUAAUUAAACUGAUAAAUGUUUUUUUUUUAUUGUAUACAUGUGAUUAGAGAUGAUCA
ensembl:lncRNA